UAAAGCUCCGGCGGAGACGGAUUGGCUCGCGUGACAUUAGCUGGACGGCGGGGUAACGGCCCACCGUGGCAACGAUGUCUAGGGGUUCUGAGAGGAAGGUCCCCCACACUGGAACUGAGACACGGUCCAGACUCCUACGGGAGGCAGCAGUGAGGAAUAUUGGUCAAUGGGCGAGAGCCUGAACCAGCCAUGCCGCGUGAAGGACGAGUGCCCUACGGGCGUUAAACUUCUUUUGUGCGGGAGCAAUAAGGGCCACGCGUGGCCUGAUGAGAGUACCGCACGAAUAAGCAUCGGCUAACUCCGUGCCAGCAGCCGCGGUAAUACGGGGGAUGCGAGCGUUAUCCGGAUUUAUUGGGUUUAAAGGGUGCGUAGGCGGCGCUUCAGGUCAGCGGUGAGAUACCGGGGCUCAACCCCGGGGCUGCCGUUGAAACCGGAGCGCUAGAAUUCCGAUGCCGUCGGAGGAAUGUGUGGUGUAGCGGUGAAAUGCAUAGAUAUCACACAGAACACCGAUUGCGAAGGCAUCUGACGAAUCGGAGAUUGACGCUGAUGCACGAAAGCGUGGGUAUCGAACAGGAUUAGAUACCCUGGUAGUCCACGCUGUAAACGAUGAUGACUAGCCGUCGGCGAUACAGUGUCG
rnacentral:rRNA from 1 species